GAAUUGAGGCUGGGCUAAAACGAAAAAUUGGUUUUCCUCGAGUUAAGAGAGCUACAAUAAAUUCAAAGUUUAAGCACAACUCUCUACCUCACCAAUCUCACUAAUUCCCAACUUCUUCCCUUUUCUUUUAUUUUUACAUUGAGCUCAUCUUCAUGCUUUUCUUCUUUUCUUUCCUUUUUCUCAUGCAUUUUUCUUUCUCAACAGUUGAGCACAAUGCUUUUCAGUUGCCUUUCAAUUUCCCCCAUACAAC
rnacentral:lncRNA from 1 species